UUGAACGCUGGCGGCAUGCUUUACACAUGCAAGUCGAACGGUAACGGGCCUUCGGGUGCUGACGAGUGGCGAACGGGUGAGUAAUGCAUCGGAACGUACCCAGAGGUGGGGGAUAACGCAGCGAAAGCUGUGCUAAUACCGCAUGUGAUCUGAGGAUGAAAGCGGGGGACCGAGCAGCAAUGUUUGGCCUCGCGCCUUUGGAGCGGCCGAUGUCGGAUUAGCUAGUUGGUGGGGUAAAGGCCCACCAAGGCGACGAUCCGUAGCUGGUCUGAGAGGACGACCAGCCACACUGGGACUGAGACACGGCCCAGACUCCUACGGGAGGCAGCAGUGGGGAAUUUUGGACAAUGGGCGCAAGCCUGAUCCAGCAAUGCCGCGUGCGGGAAGAAGGCCUUCGGGUUGUAAACCGCUUUUGGCAGGAACGAAACGGUGUCCGCUAAUACCGGGCGCUAAUGACGGUACCUGCAGAAUAAGCACCGGCUAACUACGUG
rnacentral:rRNA from 1 species